rnacentral:rRNA from 1 species
UGAACUUAGCUUGCUAAGGCCGAUGGCGACCGGCGCACGGGUGAGUAACGCGUAUCCAACCUGCCUUACACUCUUGGACAGCCUUCUGAAAGGGAGAUUAAUACAAGAUGGCAUCAUGAGUUCACAUGUCCGCAUGAUUAAAGGUAUUUUCCGGUAGACGAUGGGGAUGCGUUCCAUUAGAUAGUAGGCGGGGUAACGGCCCACCUAGUCUUCGAUGGAUAGGGGUUCUGAGAGGAAGGUCCCCACAUUGGAACUGAGACACGGUCCAAACUCC